rnacentral:lncRNA from 1 species
UUAAUAUUUCAAAUUAAUCAUUCAAGAUAUUUUAAUAAUAAUGUUAUUGAUAAUCACCAUAAAAAUAAAACAUAACAAUUUUAAUUUUGAAAUAAUUCAAAUAACUUAUCAACAAAAAUUAGUAGAAGCAUUAAGUCAUUAGUCAUGUAAUGAUUUCUUUUAAAAUGGAAAUUAAUUUUAUUAAUCUACUGAAUAUUAGAUAUUACAAAUUACAAAUGUUAAGUUCUAAAUAAAAACUAUUAUUAUACUCUGUAAGAAUAAACAUUAAUAAACGUUAAGCUAAAAUGAAGACCAAUACUCUGAAAAGUAAUGAAAUCAAUUAGCACAAAUUAAAAAAUCAAAAAGUAACAUCAUAAUCCAUUUUUCCCACUUUAACUUACUGAAUGAACCCUUUAUAAAUUAAAGAAAUAGCCAAUUUGUUAAUAUAUUUUGCCUGAAAGAUACUGUUUCUACUCAUUUUUAUUUUUACUUUAUUCACUAAACAUUUUUCUUUUAUAAAAGACUACCCAUCAUGGGUGAAAGUAUCUGUCAUUGUCUGCCCCAUAGAAUUUGAAUUUGCAAAAAUUCUAAGAGUUACUAAACAAUACUAUUAAUUGUAUGUUAAAGUACUGGUUUCAUUUCAAUUGCAGAUAAUCCAGAGAUGUGAAAAGGCAAGCUUACAUUUUAGAUUCAAAAUCAUGGUUUUUCAUGUAUA